GAGUUUGAUCAUGGCUCAGGAUGAACGCUAGCGGCAGGCCUAAUACAUGCAAGUCGAACGAGAUUAGUAGCAAUACUAUGAAAGUGGCGCACGGGUGCGUAACACGUAUGCAAUCUACCUUUAAUUGGAGGAUAGCCUCGAGAAAUCGGGAUUAAUACUCCAUAACAUUAUGAAAUGGCAUCAUUUUAUAAUUAAACCUCCGGGGAUUAAAGAUGAGCAUGCGCAACAUUAGCUAGUUGGUAAGGUAAUGGCUUACCAAGGCUACGAUGUUUAGGGGGUCUGAGAGGAUGAUCCCCCACACUGGUACUGAGACACGGACCAGACUCCUACGGGAGGCAGCAGUAGGGAAUAUUGGGCAAUGGAGGCAACUCUGACCCAGCCAUGCCGCGUGCAGGAUGACGGCCCUCUGGGUUGUAAACUGCUUUUAUACGGGAAGAAAAAAUGCUACGUGUAGCACAUUGACGGUACCGUAAGAAUAAGGAUCGGCUAACUCCGUGCCAGCAGCCGCGGUAAUACGGAGGAUCCAAGCGUUGUCCGGAUUUAUUGGGUUUAAAGGGUGCGU
rnacentral:rRNA from 1 species